UACGUAGGGUCCGAGCGUUGUCCGGAAUUACUGGGCGUAAAGAGCUCGUAGGUGGUUUGUCGCGUUGUUCGUGAAAACUCACAGCUUAACUGUGGGCGUGCGGGCGAUACGGGCAGACUGGAGUACUGCAGGGGAGACUGGAAUUCCCGGUGUAGCGGUGGAAUGCGUAGAGAUCGGGAAGAACAUCAGUGGGCGAAGGCGGCCUGCUGGGCUGUUGCUGACGCUGAGGCGCGACAGCGUGGGGGAGCGAACAGG
rnacentral:rRNA from 1 species